AAAGUGUAAAUAUUGGAGGGACUUAUCAUGUAAAUAUUAAUUACACUUUAGUCCUUGGAGAGUAGUAUAAAUAGAGGUGCCACCAUUUGCAAAGGCACCAAGCAAGUUUGUAAGCAAUCUUCCAAAGCUCAAUACAAAGCCUUCUUCAAAAAGCUCUCUUUGUUCUUUCCAAAACUUCCCUUAAACAUUCUCUUAGCAAACC
rnacentral:lncRNA from 1 species